GUGAGGAAUUUUCCGCAAUGGGCGAAAGCCUGACGGAGCAAUGCCGCGUGAAGGAUGAAGGCCUAUGGGUUGUAAACUUCUUUUCUCAGAAAAGAAUUAUGACGGUAUCUGAGGAAUAAGCAUCGGCUAACUCUGUGCCAGCAGCCGCGGUAAGACAGAGGAUGCAAGCGUUAUCCGGAAUGAUUGGGCGUAAAGCGUCUGUAGGUUGUUUAAAAAGUAUUCUGUCAAAGAUUAGGGCUUAACCCUAGAUAGGAAGAAUAAACUUUUAAGCUAGAGUUUGGUAGAGGCAGAGGGAAUUCCCGGUGGAGCGGUGAAAUGCGUAGAUAUCGGGAGGAACACCAAAGGCGAAGGCACUCUGCUGGGCCAAUACUAACACUGAGAGACGAAAGCGAGGGGAGCAAAUGGGAUUAGAAACCCCAGUAGUCC
rnacentral:rRNA from 1 species